GAUGAACGCUGGCGGCGUGCUUAACACAUGCAAGUCGAACGAAGCAUUUACUUGGAAGUUUUCGGAUGGAAGAGUAAAUGACUGAGUGGCGGACGGGUGAGUAACGCGUGGGUAACCUGCCUCACACAGGGGGAUAACAGUUAGAAAUGACUGCUAAUACCGCAUAAGACCACAGAGUCGCAUGGCUCAGAGGUAAAAACUCCGGUGGUGUGAGAUGGACCCGCGUCUGAUUAGCUGGUUGGUGGGGUAACGGCCUACCAAGGCGACGAUCAGUAGCCGACCUGAGAGGGUGACCGGCCACAUUGGGACUGAGACACGGCCCAAACUCCUACGGGAGGCAGCAGUGGGGAAUAUUGCACAAUGGGCGAAAGCCUGAUGCAGCGACGCCGCGUGAGUGAAGAAGUAUUUCGGUAUGUAAAGCUCUAUCAGCAGGGAAGAAAAUGACGGUACCUGACUAAGAAGCCCCGGCUAACUACGUGCCAGCAGCCGCGGUAAUACGUAGGGGGCAAGCGUUAUCCGGAUUUACUGGGUGUAAAGGGAGCGUAGACGGCGAUACAAGUCUGAAGUGAAAGCCCAGGGCUCAACCCUGGGACUGCUUUGGAAACUGUGUUGCUGGAGUGMAGGAGAGGYRAGYGGAAUUCCUAGUGUAGCGGUGAAAUGCGUARAUAUUAGGAGGAACACCAGUGGCGAAGGCGGCUCRCUGGACUKUAACUGACGUUGAGGCUCGAAAGCGUGGGUAGCAAACAGGAUUAGAUACCCUGGUAGUCCACGCUGUAAACGAUGAUUACUAGGUGUGGGGGGACUGACCCCUUCCGUGCCGGAGUUAACACAAUAAGUAAUCCACCUGGGGAGUACGACCGCAAGGUUGAAACUCAAAGGAAUUGACGGGGGCCCGCACAAGCAGUGGAGUAUGUGGUUUAAUUCGAAGCAACGCGAAGAACCUUACCAGGUCUUGACAUACCAUGAAUAGCCUAGAGAUAGGUGAAGCCCUUCGGGGCAUGGAUACAGGUGGUGCAUGGUUGUCGUCAGCUCGUGUCGUGAGAUGUUGGGUUAAGUCCCGCAACGAGCGCAACCCUUACUGUUAGUUGCUACGCAAGAGCACUCUAACGGGACUGCCGUUGACAAAACGGAGGGAGGUGGGGAUGACGUCAAAUCAUCAUGCCCCUUAUGACCUGGGCUACACACGUACUACAAUGGAUAUUAACAGAGGGAAGCAAUACGGUGACGUGGAGCAAACCCCUAAAAGUAUUCUCAGUUCGGAUUGUAGGCUGCAACUCGCCUACAUGAAGCCGGAAUUGCUAGUAAUCGCGGAUCAGAAUGCCGCGGUGAAUACGUUCCCGGGCCUUGUACACACCGCCCGUCACACCACGAGAGUUGGCAACACCCGAAGCCGGUAGUCUAACCGUAAGGAGGACGUCGUCGAAGGUGGGGUUGAUGAUUGGGGUG
rnacentral:rRNA from 1 species